CACGUGGGUAACCUGCCCAAGAGAUCGGGAUAACACCUGGAAACAGAUGCUAAUACCGGAUAACAACAGAUGAUGCCUAUCAACUGUUUAAAAGAUGGUUCUGCUAUCACUCUUGGAUGGACCUACGGUGCAUUAGCUAGUUGGUAGGGUAACGGCCUACCAAGGCUAUGAUGCAUAGCCGAGUUGAGAGACUGAUCGGCCACAUUGGGACUGAUACACGGCCCAAACUCCUACGGGAGGCAGCAGGG
rnacentral:rRNA from 1 species